CGGUAUCCUGACCGUGCUAAGGUAGCAUAAUAAUUUGCCUCUUAAUUGGUGGCUAGAAUGAAUGGACAAACGAGAGCCUAGCUGUCUCCUAUUUACAAUUAUAAACUAACCUUCAGGCGAAAAGGCCUGAAUAAUUUUAUAGGACAAGAAGACCCUGUCAAGCUUCAUCAAAAAAAUUGCUAAAAUUUAAUAUUUUAAUAAACAAACCAAUUCUUAUUGAUUUAGUUGGGGCGACUGGGGACCAAAACUAGCGUCCCCCCCUACUAUUAGGAUAAUAAUCCUAUCAAACUGAUCCCUAAAAGACCAAGAGAAAAGCUACUGCAGGGAUAACAGGCUAAUUUUCCUCAAGAGCCCAAAUCGAAAGGAAAGUUUGGCACCUCGAUGUUGGCUUAGGAA
rnacentral:rRNA from 1 species